UACGGAGGGUGCAAGCGUUAAUCGGAAUUACUGGGCGUAAAGCGUGCGUAGGCGGUUCGUUAAGUCUGUUGUGAAAGCCCCGGGCUCAACCUGGGAAUGGCAAUGGAUACUGGCGAGCUAGAGUGUGUCAGAGGAUGGUGGAAUUCCCGGUGUAGCGGUGAAAUGCGUAGAGAUCGGGAGGAACAUCAGUGGCGAAGGCGGCCAUCUGGGACAACACUGACGCUGAGGCACGAAAGCGUGGGGAGCAAACAGGAUAGAAACCCGGGUA
rnacentral:rRNA from 1 species